AGAAAUUGUAACGCUGCUUUUCCGCCCAGCAGCCAAUAAAAUGUGUCUCGUUAGGAAAGAGAAACCAGACUUCAUAUCAAUCGAAAAGCUUCUUCUUUCUAUUGCAAACUUUUUUCCACAUCGUUGGAGCCGGGCAGCAGCUCGUCAAUUUCAUUCAAUUCGGGAGUCAUUGGGAUUUGCGUUCACGCGGGACACACACACAAGAUCGCAGGAGGCGGUUUGGUUUCUAUUCCUUUCCCUGAGAUGGGUGGGCGCCGGGGAGGUGGUGCUUCAGCCGGCCGAUGCACCGUCGUCGCUGGUUGUUGCUGGCUGGCUGGUGGCUGGCUGUGUACAGUCACAACGGGAGUGAGAGAGCGUGAGCAGCGGCGUGUGUAGUAUAUAGCGGGAGAUUUCCACCCAGUUGUGCUUCAGUUGGCUGUUCUCUGUUUUUCGUGCUACUCGCAUCCACGCUGGCCGGCCCUCCGUUUCGCUAUAUAAGUUCCCCAUCCCCUCCCCUACCCCCCUCUUUUUUUUGUGUUGGGGGUCCGGGCAGUCGUCCAGUUUGUGCCAGAACAAAUAAAAUCACCCACGCGAGAGAGUCUCUUCAUUCGUAUAUAUAACUGCCGCUUGAUAUUAGCGUCGGACUACAUCACCCAAAGUUCUACUCUCGUUUAAAACAAAAACUAAAAUAGUUAAAAGUUUCUGCGCUUUGAUUUCCUUUAAUAGUAUCCCGUGCGGAGUGGCCCGUCGUCGCGAGGUGGUGGGUGACAUUGUGUGCGUGAACUCUUUUCUUGUUUCAUUAUUUCCGCUCCCGAUUGUUAUAACAUUUUGUUUGUUCGCGGCGAGAAUUGAGAAAGUCCCAAACAGCUCACUGGAGAAGGGGCGGUGGGCAGGUCCGGCCCCAAAACAAAUGGCCAGUUGAGGUGCUGCUGCAUUGUCGAGAGUAUAGGAUGUGCGGGGGAUGUUGUUGGCGGAGAAGAAGCGGCCUCGGCCAGCAGUAAGGAGGACACCAAUCUAACGGCCAAUGAAAUGGGCCCCGCCGAUGUCCCGCGUCAUCCCGUCGUUCCCGUCUAGGAGCUUCUCUUCGCUGUCGUUCCACUUGAAAAGAAAGAAGGAAAAAAGGAGGAUCAGCAGCAGCAGCAGUCAUUUGGCAAUCAACGACCUUUUGUGAUUUUUAUUCGAUAUUAUUAUUAUACCGGCGCGUAGUGUACAGAGAAAACGACGUUGACACAACCCAGCACACAUCAGGCCCGGCCAAUGUGAACACCGUCCAUUUCCUAUAGACGAGAGACUCUCGCACAGCACACAAAAUCCUAUCCUUUUCAUCAGCGGGGGGAAUAUCUAUCCAUCUCUAUCUAUAAAUGUCUAUUCCUCCUCUCAUACAUAUCGACGCCGUCCUCGAAACGUAAAACGACGCCGAAUGAAAUAAAAAAAAAGAAGAAGAAGAAGAAAAAAAAAACCACACGUUCGUGAAACCUGAGCGCGCACCCAUACCGUGCGUGCCUAUAACAUAACCCGACCGACACUGCUGGAUGCUAAUGUGAUGGCAUAGCCUUCUCCCUUCAAAAGUGCAUCUAGCGCCAUAUUAUAUCCCGGCUGCAGCUUUUUUGAUAGUUAUUUCCUCCUUUUUCUUUUUCGUUUUAAAUUUCCUGCCGUGUGUAGGAAGAUCCCGCUUGGCGUGGAGAGUGGGCGGAGUGUUUGACAGUUGAUGGACGACACCUUAUUCCAUUUCUACAAACGGUGGGAAAAUAAAAGAAGAAGAACAUUAGAAACAUACAUACCUCUUUUAAACCGAAUAGAAGGGUGAAAAAAGAAAGAAAGAAAUAGCGCAAAAAAUCUCUGUUUGGAAUUGGAGCCAAAAGUGUCACUAAAUAGGAUCACCAUGGAGACGGCGCUGAGGGAUCUGCUGGAGCAGCAGCAACAGUACCAGCAGCCACCGGAGCGCGUGGCGACCGAGACCGCCGUUGACUUUCUAUCGAUCGCCUCAUCGGCGUUUGUGAUUUUGCACAACGAGACGGGCGGCAUUGGAGAAGGCAACACGAGCAGCCUCCUGCUGGCCAACAGCAUCGUCGCCAACGUCAGCGGCGUCCGCCACUUGAAUCGGUCCGUGCAGGUACGUCCAUCAUGCCGGGAGGAGAAAUUAAUUGGGUAACGCCGUACUAUGUAUAUAGGAUCAUCGUUGUCACAUAAAACUUGAUUUACCAUCCACCUUUCUGGGGCUGCAUGCUGCUGCUGGCCAGUUGCGUAUUGCGCUCGUUUCUUUUUUAUCUGGAGAAAACGGACGGGCACUCUUAUUGUUUUUUUUCUGUUCCACCCCUUUGGCCACAACCCACCACCUUAUCGGCAGCUAUAAAUUAGUGGCUGGGUGGUCUAGCGCUUGUCCGCGUUACCUCCGUCCGUCGGGUCGGCCAUUCUGUCACCAGCAAAAGAAGCAACUCGUUGGUCUUUUUCUUUUCUCUUUUCUUCUUUUUUUAUUUUCGGGUUGGGUUGUUGUUGUUGUUGUGAUAUAUGAUUAUCACGGGCAGAGAAACAACGGGACCGGGUAUUACUACAGUAUGUACGUAAAGCACUUUCGGUUGUUUUUCUCACUCCAUCUGCAAUGUAGCCAAUAGUAGCGUAUUUGAUUUCUUGUUGGGCUUCAUUUCCGUGACGGAAAACGCCAAGACUGAUUGGUCGAAUCCUCCGGGGGGGGGGGGGGCAACAUUGCUGGUGCUGGUGGGAGGAGGAGGGUUUCUGUUCGAAACCUCGGGGUCACCAUUGAUAAGCACUUGACUAUGCAUCUGCAGAUCAACAAGACGUGUAGAAGUGCCUUAUUCCACCUGCGCAGGAUUGCAAGAAUUCGAAAAUUCCUCUCACGAUCGGCUGCCGUCCAACUGGUCUCCGCAUUUGUCCUGUCUCACAUUGAUUAUGGGAAUUCUCUUCUCGCCGGACUCCCGUCAUCUCUGUUGGAACCUAUAAAGAAGGUCUUGUAUGCUGCUGCUCGAGUCGUCACUGGAGCCCGACGUCGCGAUGCCAUGACCACUCAUCUGCGGGAGCUUCACUGGCUGCCAGUCCCUUAUCGGGUUGACUUCAAGAUCGCGGUGCUGACGUACCGCUGCCUCAAUCGUUGUGCUCCCUCCUACUUGUCCAGCCUAAUAUCUCGCCGAGAAAGAAAGAUUUUGCCCCCCUCCAGAGACAUCUCGCCCCGUUUUUAUUUUAAACGGUUAAUGGCAGAGAUAUUGGCAAUUGAAAAUCUUGGAAAUUUUUCGUCAUUUUCUGAAGAUUUUCGCCAUUGACAGACGUCACUUCGCCACGCCAUCUAGCGGCCGAUUUUAAAGAAAGCAAGGGAGAUCUAUUCUUCUGGCCAUUAAUUUUUGAUUGUGUAAAGAUUCUGCUAGGCGACAUUGUACGUUCUAGGGAAACUUGUUGAUGAAACAAGCCCUCCCCUCGUAAACCGAGACGUGCAGAUGCCAUCAGCAGCCCCCUCGCAUCUGCGAGCGGAGACCACCGCCGGAAUAGCGCAGAUAAAGAUCAGGUGGCCGUAACAGGCGCAGAAUAAGAAGUUCCCCCUCGCUGUGACAAACCUCCCAAGGUUGGGCAGCUAUGUUAACUUUAACUUCCUCCUUUUGUUAAACUAAUAAAAGUAGAGUUAGAAAGUCACUGCCUAGAGUGACCUAGAAAAACAAGUGCGCGCAUUGACCCCUAGUUUCCCACGUAGACGCGCAUAAAAAUAGAUGCCAACCCCCAGCAUCCGACUAGUUAAUAAAUAGGCUGACAAAAUAGAAAACGGGCAGUCUUUUGUCAGUUUCUGUGCCAAGUUGUUGCUGCUGCUCUUCCAGCCGUGGCGUCCCCUCCUCAUCGCGUCCUUCUAGUAGAUCGCCAUUUUUACUCUUCUUCGCCCUCGAGUAAUUUCCACGUCUGUUGACUGUCCAUAACAUCAUGUGUCAAUUAAAGUAAUACAACGAGUUCUCAACUAUUAAUAUUAGUUCUAAUUUUUAUAUAUAUUAGUAUUUCCCUUUAUGCGCAGAGUUUUCCUCUUAUGGGAGAACUCUGACAAUUGAUUGAAUGAUUGAAUGAUUGAGAAAAGAAUGGAAUCGAUGUAAAACUGCUGGGCUUGGUUGACUAUCGAUAGUUGAAGUUCGAAAAAAAAAUUAAUGGCCAGAAGAAUAGUAGAUCUCCCUUGCCUUUUUGAAGUCUGUCAAUGGCGAAAAUCUUCAGAAAAUGUCGAAAAAUUUCCAAGAUUUUCAAUUGCCAAUAUCUCUGCCAAUAACCGUUUAAAAAAAAAAAACGGGGCGAGAUGUCUCUGGAGGGUGGCAAAAUCUUUCAUUCUGAAAAAUUAGAUUUUUUUAAAGGUCCGGUUUGCCCGAAAACUGAUGUCAAAAAUCAGAAAAAAACACUACAAUUUCUGGGGGGGUCCCUUAAUUUUUAAUUAAAUAACUUAAAAAAUAUGCUAGCUAGAACAUUGCGGAUUUUACCAUUGGAUUUUCCGUAAAAUUCUGCACAAAAUGGUUUAUACGGGGACUGACUGCGAUGCCUUCGUCACCCUUUUCCAAAAAUUGUAAACCCCCAAAACCCCCAAUUUUGGCCUGAUUGAGUGGUGGACUCAGUGUUAAAUUGACCAAG